UACUAGAGUAGCACUCGCAUAUCAAUAAGCGGAGGAAAAGAAACUAACAAGGAUUCCCCUAGUAACGGCGAGUGAAGCGGGAAGAGCUCAAAUUUGAAAUCUUAAAGGGUUUCCCUUUACGAAUUGUAGUUUAAAGAAGUGUUUUCUGUUGAGGUUUUGGUAAAAGUUCUUUGGAAUAGGACAUCAUAGAGGGUGAGAAUCCCGUAUUUGACCUUUACUUUCAACUUCGUGAUACACUUUCAAAGAGUCGGAUUGUUUGGGAAUGCAGUCCAAAAUGGGUGGUAAAUUUCAUCUAAAGCUAAAUAUUGGCGAGAGACCGAUAGCGAACAAGUACCGUGAGGGAAAGAUGAAAAGAACUUUGAAAAGAGAGUUAAACAGUACGUGAAAUUGUCAAAAGGGAAGCGUUUGACACCAGUGUUGUUUUUCUGAAAAUCAAUUAAAGAACUGUUUAUGCUAAGCUGUUUAGACUUUAUCAGCUAACUGUUUAGUUUUGAGCUUUUCUUUAAUGCACUUUUCAGUUAACAAGUCAACAUCAAUUUCUUUUGCUGUAAAAAAGCUUGAGGAAGGUGGCUUGAGAUUCGUCUUAAGUGUUUAUAGCCUCUUGCCUAUGCAGUCGGAGAGAUUGAGGUCUGCAGCGUAGAUCCUUCGGGGCUAAAUGCAUUUGUGCUAAGUUAUAGCAUUUUAUAGACAACUUGUUGACUAUGAUUUGUCUUGUAGCUUACUCGCUUAUGUUAUUUUACCUACGCUUAGGAUGUUGAGUCAUCACACAUCUCU
rnacentral:rRNA from 1 species